GAUGAACGCUGGCGGCGUGCCUAAUACAUGCAAGUCGAGCGAACAGACGAGGAGCUUGCUCCUUUGACGUUAGCGGCGGACGGGUGAGUAACACGUGGGUAACCUACCUAUAAGACUGGGAUAACUUCGGGAAACCGGAGCUAAUACCGGAUAAUAUUUCGAACCGCAUGGUUCGAUAGUGAAAGAUGGCUUUGCUAUCACUUAUAGAUGGACCUGCGCCGUAUUAGCUAAUUGGUAAGGUAACGGCUUACCAAGGCAACGAUAGGUAGCCGACCUGAGAGGGUGAUCGGCCACACUGGAACUGAGACACGGUCCAGACUCCUACGGGAGGCAGCAGUAGGGAAUCUUCCGCAAUGGGCGAAAGCCUGACGGAGCAACGCCGCGUGAGUGAUGAAGGUCUUCGGAUCGUAAAACUCUGUUAUUAGGGAAGAACAAACGUGUAAGUAACUGUGCACGUCUUGACGGUACCUAAUCAGAAAGCCACGGCUAACUACGUG
rnacentral:rRNA from 1 species